GACGAACGCUGGCGGCGUGCUUAACACAUGCAAGUCGAACGGAAAGGCCCUGCUUUUGUGGGCUGCUCGAGUGGCGAACGGGUGAGUAACACGUGAGUAACCUGCCCUUUACUUUGGGAUAACUUCAGGAAACUGUUGCUAAUACCGGCUAGGUGCUCCUGCUGCCUGGUGGGGGUUGGAACGUUUCGGCGGUUGGGGAUGGACUCGCGGCUUAUCAGCUUGUUGGUGGGGUAGUGGCUGACCAAGGCUUUGACGGGUAGCCGGCCUGAGAGGGUGACCGGCGACAUGGGGACUGAGAUACGGACCAGACGCGUACGGGAGGCAGCAGUGGGGAAUAUUGCACAGUGGGCGGAAGCCUGAGGCAGAAGCGCCGCGUGCGGGAUGAGGGCCUGCGGGUUAUGAACCGCUUUCGCCUGUGACGAAGCGUGGGUGACGGUAAUGGGUAAAGAAGCACCGGCUAACUACGUG
rnacentral:rRNA from 1 species